rnacentral:lncRNA from 1 species
AUGGAUCGCAUUGUUCCAUCCAACCUUGACGUCCCCAUGUAUGCUACCAUGGGGAAUCGCUCAAAGAAACGGAAGGUGGCACAUGGAACCACGGCUGUGGUCUCCAAAGGAAAGAAGGCCCGCCUUGAGGCACUUCAAACUCCAGCAAGGAUUGCCAAACCUUCGAAGCUGGUACCUCCCCCUCGACCUGUGCCAGAAGCUGCUGUACCAGCUACUCUGGAGGGCGUACCUCCUCCUCGACCUGUUCCAGAAGCUGCUGUACCAGCUACUCUGGAGGGCGUACCUCCUCCUCGACCUGUUCCAGAUGCUGCUGUUCCAGCCACUCUGGAGGGCAGCGUCUUUGUGCAUUCGAGCAAGGUAAUUUGCAUACAACAUGUAAUGAUUAAACACAUUCAGUGAAUAGAGUGCGGUUCUCUAUUCUUUUGAUAUUUUCUCUAAGUUCCCUUUAAGAAAGUGUAAUUUUGGGUUUCCAUCUCUCAAUUGUAAUGUACAUAUAAUUCUUACUAUGUCUUUGCAGUUUGCUCAACCGGAGGGGGAUGACAAGACUCUGUGUGUUGAUGAGUGGCCGUUUCUUCAAACAGAGUUUUGUGAGGUAAAGGAAUGGGGGAAAAAGAGAGCAUCUUGUAAUAAUUUAAUAUUUGGGUUUUGUUAAAUUUGUAUGUAGCGCCACAAAAUACAGGCGUGCACAACACUAUGUUUGUUACUGUUUUAAAUAAACUACAUUAGCAGUAAGUUCUUUGAACUGCCCACUUUUCAAUUUUCAUACAAUUGUAUCUCUCAUGAUAAUUUUGCUCCCUUACCUCAUUGUAGAAGGUGAACCAGCCAACUGCUCGGGUUGUCUCUGGACAGAGAAAACAAGAGGAGCCAACACCUUGGGGGCCAAAAGUUGUGAUGGCCCAGGCUGAUAAACCAACAGCCAAUGAGACCAGCUUCUUGGGAUGUUCAACCAAGGUAAUGACAACAAUAUAAAAAAUGAUUUACAAAUAAGCAAUCAAUCUGUUCCAGGAUCAGUAUCUAGAAACAUUUACAUUUUUACUUCAUAAUUACAAUCAACAU